rnacentral:rRNA from 1 species
UUGAAGCACGUACGCCAGUAUGUGUGGAGCCGUCCUUGAAAUACCACCCUUGUAGUGUUGAUGUUCUAACGUCGACCCCUAAUCGGGGUUGCGGACAGUGCCUGGUGGGUAGUUUGACUGGGGCGGUCUCCUCCCAAAGAGUAACGGAGGAGCACGAAGGUGGGCUAAUCACGGUUGGACAUCGUGAGGUUAGUGCAAUGGCAUAAGCCCGCUUGACUGCGAGAAUGACAAUUCGAGCAGGUGCGAAAGCAGGUCAUAGUGAUCCGGUGGUUCUGAAUGGAAGGGCCAUCGCUCAACGGAUAAAAGGUACUCCGGGGAUAACAGGCUGAUACCGCCCAAGAGUUCAUAUCGACGGCGGUGUUUGGCACCUCGAUGUCGGCUCAUCACAUCCUGGGGCUGAAGUCGGUCCCAAGGGUAUGGCUGUUCGCCAUUUAAAGUGGUACGCGAGCUGGGUUUAGAACGUCGUGAGACAGUUCGGUCCCUAUCUGCCGUGGGCGUUGGAAGAUUGAAGGGGGCUGCUCCUAGUACGAGAGGACCGGAGUGGACGAACCUCUGGUGUUCGGGUUGUGUCGCCAGACGCAUUGCCCGGUAGCUAAGUUCGGAAUCGAUAACCGCUGAAAGCAUCUAAGCGGGAAGCGAGCCCUGAGAUGAGUCUUCCCUGAUACUUUAAGUAUCCUAAAGGGUUGUCGGAGACUACGACGUUGAUAGGUCAGGUGUGUAAGUGCUGUGAGGCAUUGAGCUAACUGAUACUAAUUGCCCGUGAGGCUUAACCAUACAACACCCAAGGGGUUU